GAUGAACGCUGGCGGCGUGCCUAAUACAUGCAAGUCGAGCGAACAGACGAGGAGCUUGCUCCUCUGACGUUAGCGGCGGACGGGUGAGUAACACGUGGAUAACCUACCUAUAAGACUGGGAUAACUUCGGGAAACCGGAGCUAAUACCGGAUAAUAUAUUGAACCGCAUGGUCCAAUAGUGAAAGACGGUUUUGCUGUCACUUAUAGAUGGAUCCGCGCCGCAUUAGCUAGUUGGUAAGGUAACGGCUUACCAAGGCAACGAUGCGUAGCCGACCUGAGAGGGUGAUCGGCCACACUGGAACUGAGACACGGUCCAGACUCCUACGGGAGGCAGCAGUAGGGAAUCUUCCGCAAUGGGCGAAAGCCUGACGGAGUAACGCCGCGUGAGUGAUGAAGGUCUUCGGAUCGUAAAACUCUGUUAUUAGGGAAGAACAAAUGUGUAAGUAACUAUGCACGUCUUGACGGUACCUAAUCAGAAAGCCACGGCUAACUACGUG
rnacentral:rRNA from 1 species